UCUGCGCGCAGCGGCUCCACCUUCUGGCGGUAGAGCUCCAUCUCCUCCUGCCACUUCUUCUGGAAGUCGUCCAGGGUGGCAGGCAGGGAGAUUACGGACAGCAUGGGGCAUGUGAAAUCCUGACACUUCUACAAAUUGGGAAGAAACCUUUGGCAUGCUGCCUGCUUAGUGCUCUCACAGUGCCUGGCCUCAUACUGGCUGGUGGCAAAUCGCCAUCAAGGAAAUAGAUCCAAAUGGCAAACCUUCUUCAUCCACCAGGACCCAACCCACAGGCUACUUAUUGCUGGAAACCUACGUUGUUCCUUGGAUUGAAGUAAUCUCUCCCUCCUCUGGUGCGCCCACAGCACUUGCACCAACAGUGGGUACUCAACAGACUAGCGUGCCUGCCGAAGAAGGGGUCCUCUGACAAUCAGGGGACAAUGGGGAAUUAUGCUCUCCAGACUUUCUACACACACAAGUCACACAGGAAGGAAGGUAAAGAGAAACUAGAGAAAAUAAUUUUUGAAGAAAAACAUUUCAGGAAGUAUUGAAAGUACACGGUAACUCAGCCUGGGGCAGGGGUGGAGGGCAGCAGCACUGUUUGCUGCAGCUAUGCUCCUUCCUCAGUGCCCUGCACACCCGGGACUUGCUCGGUGAGCAUCUCUCGUGUCAGUGACAGCUAGUGUGAGUACUCUUAUGUUCAGCUGCCCCUGACUACCUCUUGACUUUGGGGACAAGUUACUUAAUCUCUGUGCCUCCGCUGUUUCACUGGUAAAUGGGAAUAAGAGUUGGUUAUUCUAGGGUUGUAGGGUUGUUGUAAGGAUUAAAUGAAUCCGUAUGUGAACAGCAUUUGGUGCCUGGCACAUGUGAGCUCAGCCGGGCGCGGUGGCUCAUGCCUGUAAUCCCAGCACUUUGGGAGGCCAAGGCGUGCGGAUCACGAGGUCAGGAGAUCGAGACCAUCCUGGCUAACACGGUGA
ensembl:lncRNA APOA1-AS APOA1 antisense RNA